UACGUAGGGUGCGAGCGUUGUCCGGAAUUAUUGGGCGUAAAGAGCUCGUAGGCGGUUUGUUGCGUCGGCCGUGAAAACCUGCAGCUUAACUGUGGGCCUGCGGCCGAUACGGGCAGACUUGAGUUCGGUAGGGGAGACUGGAAUUCCUGGUGUAGCGGUGAAAUGCGCAGAUAUCAGGAGGAACACCGAUGGCGAAGGCAGUGAUCUGGGCCAGUACUGACGCUGAGGAGCGAAAGCGUGGGGAGCAAACAGG
rnacentral:rRNA from 1 species